rnacentral:lncRNA from 13 species
AUGCAAGACCCUUUAUUUACCCUUUAUUCUCUUUUCCUUAGGAAGAAGGAAGACGUCACUGAUGUUGCUGUGAGUUGCAGUACCUUGGACUGGGGGAGAGAUGAUAAACCACUGGAUUCUCCGGCUGAAGAAUCAUGUGGAAGGCAGCUGCCUCUACACUUGGUGGUUGACCUGGGUUUACCAUUGAUCCCAGCAGUCAAGAAGACGAGAUAGACGUGGAGAAAGAAGUGUGAGGACAAGCUGAAAUCCACAGCCCCCCACCUCCAUAAAUCUUUCACUGCAUCUAAUCACAAAGACCUUCAAAAAGAGAUGGCAACAAUUUACUUUUGACUUUUAAACCUUAUGUGAAUUUCUUGCUAACUCUAACUCAGAAUCAUAAAAUUAAGGAAAUUCUUCAAAACAUAGUCAACUGAAACAAUCACAACCACCUUCCAGUUUUACAAGACACAUUCUAGAAUUAACACAUACAUUUCCAUUUGUAGCCCAUUGGGCAGAACCAGCCAUGUAACCUCCCAUAACUGCAAGGGGCUAGGAAAUGUGAGAAAGCUUAUGGACAUUAAUUCAGCAAUCAUUAAAUGUCCCUGCCACACCUACUAUGUCAGGAGGAAACAUUUAUAGAUCUUAGCUUACAACAAUUUGUUGGAGUUGUCAACUUGAUUUCUAACAAAAAUAUUUUGUUUGAGUGUAAGUAUUUGUCUUAUUAAAAAUUUAUUAGUAUUAGAACUAUUGCCACUGUGGCCAAGAUUUAAAUUGCAACUCUGAAACCUACGGUUUUCAGUCAGGUUUUUUUCAGGGAAAGCCUCUCUAUAGAGGAAUCUUCAUUUCCUUAUUCCCUUAUGCUUUCCUUAAGCACUAUUAGAUCUAAGUAUUAUGAAAGGAGUUUCAAGCAUCAAGCUUUCCUAAUUGCAGCAUUCAGCAUCCCUUGAAGUAUGGACUCAACUAUAAUUUAUUUGGUGGGUGGAGAGCAAGAAAGAAAGAGAGGAAAAUGAAAGAUUAAAGAAACCUUUUAAAUUAGAAAACUAAUAGAGCGCCUCUAAAUGUAUUCUUGGGGCAAAUUUGAUAUUACCUGGAGUGGAAAUAUGAGCAUUUAGGGAAGAGUAUAUUUCUUAUAGAUGAAAGAGUUGGUAAUUUUAUACUGAUGAGUCAUUCUGGACAUAAUACUACUUUUCAUUUAUGGCUAUCAUGCAAUGUCAGUCACAGGAAGCCAACACAAAGCAAAUGCAAGUACUCGCUUCUCAGAUGACAGGAAGAAAGAAUUAAUUAAAGCUCUUUUCUUCUUAAACAAAGAAAAUAAAAAGAUACUUGCUUAUUCA